rnacentral:rRNA from 1 species
CUACGGGUGGCUGCAGGCGGGAAACCUUUACAAUGCACGCAAGUGCGAUAAGGGGAUCCAAAGUGCUUAUGCAUUAGUAUAGGCUUUUGCCAAGUGUAAAUAACUUGGCGAAUAAGUGGUGGGAAAGACCGGUGCCAGCCGCCGCGGUAACACCGGCGCCACAAGUGGCAAUCAUGUUUAUUGGGCCUAAAGUGUCCGUAGCCGGCUUAGUAAGUUCUCUGUGAAAUCGUACAGCUCAACUGUACGGCGUGCAAAGAAUACUGCUUAGCUUGGGAUUGGGAGAGGUAGGAGGUAUUUCUGGGUAAGCGGUAAAAUGUUAUAACCCCAGAAGGACCGUCGAUGGCGAAGGCAUCCUACUAGAACAAGUCCGACGGUGAGGGACGAAAGCCAGGGGAGCAAUCCGGAUUAGAUACCCGUGUAGUC